rnacentral:rRNA from 1 species
UACGUAGGGUGCGAGCGUUGUCCGGAAUUAUUGGGCGUAAAGGGCUCGUAGGCGGUUUGUCACGUCGGGAGUGAAAACUCAGGGCUUAACCCUGAGCCUGCUUCCGAUACGGGCAGACUAGAGGUAUGCAGGGGAGAACGGAAUUCCUGGUGUAGCGGUGAAAUGCGCAGAUAUCGGGAGGAACACCGGUGGCGAAGGCGGUUCUCUGGGCAUUACCUGACGCUGAGGAGCGAAAGUGUGGGGAGCGAACAGG